rnacentral:misc_RNA from 1 species
UGGUUCUGGCAUCGAUGAAGAACGCAGCGAAAUGCGAUAAGUAAUGUGAAUUGCAGAAUUCAGUGAAUCAUCGAAUCUUUGAACGCACAUUGCGCCCGCCAGUAUUCUGGCGGGCAUGCCUGUUCGAGCGUCAUUUCAACCCUCAGGUCCCCCCGCCUUCACCCGCGGGGGGACCUGGUGUUGGGGACCGGCGGCGCCCACCCCGGCGCCCGCCGCCCCCGAAAUGAAUUGGCGGUCUCGUCGCGGCCUCCCCUGCGUAGUAGCACACAAAACCCCGCAGCAGGAGCGCGGCGCGGCCUCUGCCGUAAAACGCCCCAACUUUUUCAAGAGUUGACCUCGAAUCAGGUAGGAAUACCCGCUGA